CCCGCACAAGCGGCGGAGCAUGCGGAUUAAUUCGAUGCAACGACGAAGAACCUUACCAAGGCUUGACAUACACCGGUAACGCCCAGAGAUGGGUGCCCCUUUGUGGUCGGUGGACAGGUGGUGCAUGGUUGUCGUCAGCUCGUGUCGUGAGACGUUGGGUUAAGUCCCGCAACGAGCGCAACCCUCGUCCUAUGUUGCCAGCGGGUCAUGCCGGGGACUCAUGGGAGACUGCCGGGGUCAACUCGGAGGAAGUGGGGAUGACGUCAAAUCAUCAUGCCCCUUAUGUCUUGGGCUUCACGCAUGCUACAAUGGCCGGUACAAAGGGCUGCGAUACCGCGAGGUGGAGCGAAUCCCAGAAAGCCGGUCUCAGUUCGGAUUGGGGUCUGCAACUCGACCCCAUGAAGUCGGAGUCGCUAGUAAUCGCAGAUCAGCAACGCUGCGGUGAAUACGUUCCCGGGCCUU
rnacentral:rRNA from 1 species